GGGCUUAUAGCUCAGCUGGUAGAGCAAUUCCCUUACAAGGAAUAGGUCCCAGGUUCGAAUCCUGGUGGGCCCA
rnacentral:tRNA from 1 species